GUGGGUAUAGUUUAACGGUCAGAAUAGGUCGUUGUGGCCGACCAGAUAUGGGUUCGAUUCCCAUUACCCACA
rfam:Talaromyces stipitatus ATCC 10500 scf_1105507295523 genomic scaffold, whole genome shotgun sequence.